AGUGAGGGUAGAGGUGCAAAUAUCAUUAGUAUGUUAGCGGAGGAGAAUGAGAUCCGUGGAAACUAACAAAAAGGGGUGUUUGCCGAAGCUUAUGAAAUCUCAUCAAACCAUAAGCUGGGACUGUUCUGAACAAGGGCAGUACUGUCAUAUAGCAUACAAGCUAUAUGGAGGGCUAUCUCACAG
rnacentral:ncRNA from 2 species